rnacentral:sRNA from 1 species
CACCCCCUUCAGCCCUUCCGGCUACAGCGUUCAGUCUCUUUUCCUGACCCGGAACUCCAGGCGGCAAUUUCCCUGAUCUUUGUUCCCUGAGGUCUUCUGACAUUCAUGAGAUAAAGCGCCUCACACCAGUGACUCUUCUCAUCGCUAGAACAAAAUAUUUGACCAGAAGCAUCUUAACGAAAGACAGGAUCAUGCACAUGAUACAGUGUUCUCAGACAUGGACCUGUAUUUUCACCAAUCAAGAGAGAAAAGACAAGGACUGGUGACAUGGCUCCGUGGACCCUGCCACCACGCUGGGACACCUGAGUUGGAUUCCAAAGAGCCACUUGGUAGAAGGAGAGAACCCUCUCCUCAAAGUUGUCCUCUGACCUACAUGUUUGUCCUGUGGUGCCCUUGUGCACAUAAAACAAAAUAAAG